UGUUAACCUACCACAACCCGACGACGCAAGCGACGGCGUAAAAACGUCCUCAUUGUGCGCAGUCGUUGGUAGCCCUGACAUCAGGUGUCAACUUUAGUCGAUCUAUGGCAACCUAUCAAUUCGAUGGCGCACUGCAGCCAACUCUAAAAAUUGCAUUAUUGCAGAAAAGUUUUUUGAAGCAGCACAACUAAAAGCCAUCAGAGGAAAAGAAAAGUUUAAUUUCAAUUUAACACCAGUCAGAGCCGGUAUUCUCCUCUCCAAUUAUAAUUUGAAGUUACCCAUCAUUGUGGAUAAAGUAGUGUUUGUGUGCCGAAUAAAUUCGUUUUGAUUAAUAAUAAAGAAUCUGAAUUUUUGCUUGGACACUGUUCCAAGAAAGACCGCCAACCACGCCGCCUAAGACCAAAGGUUAGGUUAUUGGACAUUUUUGCGUGUCAAUUUGUACCCUAUCUUUAAAGGGCAGUGCUACCUAAUAUAAGGACACAUCCCAUCGGUACUGUUAAGGAGACCAAAAUCUGACCAUAUCAACAUAUUCCCAAAUUGUGGUAAGCCGAAAAUCCUAUAUGUCUAAAGGAGAAUAACGGAGUAAGUACGCAAUCACACGGGUACAGUUGAAGCAGUCAAUCAUCAUCCCUGGGUUACCCACCUCCUUCAGUCACAGACGGGAGGGGUGGGCCCCGUGUUUUUUUUGCAACCUGUUCCUCGACGGUCAGCCGAGCUGUUUUAGAAACUUUCCGGAUACAUCCAGUGUUCCUAGUUUUGUGUUUUAACGAUUUUUAAAAAAACCUUCCUCAUAUGUAUAUAAGUUUGUACAUAUGUACGUAUAUACAUGUUGACUUAUAUAAAUUUUAAUGUUAAAUUUUGGCUACUACAAAAAGUAACGGUUCUUCGCCACGUGUUUAGUGCCCUUGUGAAAUUGUUUUUGGUAACGGAACCAUGUGUUCCAAUUGAGAAAUUAUUCCACUACAUUCUUAUUGGAAUUAAAUUAGCAGCCCUAGAAUUUUCUAAUUUGUUAAGAUUUCUUUCUUUUUGGCUAUAUUUUUUUUAAA